rfam:Haemonchus contortus, ISE/inbred ISE, WGS project CAVP01000000 data, contig: Hcontortus_39110
GGCACAAACCUGAAGUAGAAUAGUUGGGUAUGGUCAGCUGAUCCUACUGAUCUACUCUGCUUCAAGUUUGUGCUC